rnacentral:lncRNA from 10 species
CCAGCGCCACGUGACUACAGGAGCUGCCGAGGAAAGAAAAUGAGUGGCAAAGGAGUUGCGAAGGGAUUCCUGAGCCUUUAUGCCAGCUGGAAGCUUAAGGCCUUGGUAUUUGAGACUUCACCCUUCAAAAUGUCUUGGAGGAUGGCCCAGCAACCAGCCAAAUGGCCCAAUGGCCUAGCCCAGUGGAGACGGUCUCAGCUUUUGACAAGCUAGCCGGAGAAAGGGCUGGACAGGAAGGGGCCCACUGGACAGCGAAUAUUGAUAGGGCCCCUGGGAGGAUCAAUUUUCCCCUCCAACAGUGCCUGGCUCCCAUUAUCAGAUUAGAUGCAAAGUGGGCUGGCAUGCCAGGGGGUGACAGGAACAGUGUCUCCAGAAAUCCUCUGUGAAGACACCCAAGUAUUGUUCAGAAGUGGCCCUGUAUCUGGAAGAGGGAAAACUGCACCCACUUCUUGCAGACAUACAGUUCCAGCUCCCCCCACAGGACUUGCUCAUACAUCCAACAAAUAUUUAAUCAGUGCCCACCAUCUGCCACUGUGCCAGGUGCCCGGCCUCAUCAUGAGUCAGGCAGAGGUGGUCUGUGCAGUUUUCCCACAAUGUGAGAGGGUGCUGAGAAGACUUUUAACGCUUAUUUAACUACGGAAAUAACUCUUGGUUUGGUACCUACUACAAAAUAAAAACAAGCGCUUGUUGAUAAUUUCUGGAUGGAUGACUGUGGAAAGCUGGAGGAGACUGAGGAUCAAUUUGCUCUAAUGAACCUUCCCUUGACUAUCAUCUCCGUUACCUCCUGCCGCAUCCCUACGGCAAAUAUGCAAGACUCUCACGCAGCUAAUUUCCAGGGGUUUGCAGUCUGGGGAGGAAGCAGAAAGCACAUCCCUCACUGACCCUGAGGAGGGGCAAAUCUCUGGUAGCAGUCACAGGUACGUGCUGUACACACUUCCCAUCCUUUGAGCCUUCCCAGCUGGAGAGCACCAAGAGAACGCAGUUGGGGAGGCCCCGAAAGAUGAAGGGUUGUUGAGCUUGAAGGCAGUGAAAAAGUAAAUGGAAGAAAGCUCUCUGCCCUCCACUGCCUAAAUGCAGGAUAUAGAUUUAGAAGGAUAAAAGGGGUCUGCUCCCUCUCUCGACCAGGGAAAAGUUAACCACUGAAGACAACUUUAGACUCUUAUGGGCCUGGAGCUGGAACCAGAGGAAUGGACAUGAAGGCGCUUUACUAACUCUAUUUAUCUGCCAGUUACUUACCUUUCUACAAGUUCUCCCCUUAGACACUCAAAGUUCUUUUCCUUUGUCCUGUCGCUUCCCUAAAACUUGGCUUUUCUUUGUUGAAGAUGCUAUACAAGCUGGAAUUCAAAGCUACCACUUUGAGAACUACUCAAUUCCUGCGUGUCUCCCAGGCAGAUGUGAAAUACACAUGUUAAUAAACUUCCACUGGUUUUUCUCUUGUUAAUCUGUCUUUUGUAACAGGAGUCCGUUCCAACCACAAAUCUAGGGGGGCUGAGGAAAAACCCCUACAGUGGCACACACUGAA